rnacentral:lncRNA from 1 species
GUGUGUGUGUGUGUGUGUGUGCAGGCUCCGCAGUGUCGCAGCCUGGGGCUGCAGUGUGUGUGUGUGCAGCCCCUCAUGUAGGGGAGCAGGCAUGGGAGGCUGGGAGGAGGAGAGGAACAGGAGAGCCACGGUGGGGAGACUGAGUGCACAGCUGAGGGUGUGCGUGUGCAACUGUGUAGUGGGGAGCGUGCAUGCCUGGCUGUGUCCUUGCCUCUGUGUCCGUGUGUCCUUGUCUGUCUGUGAGUCUCUCCAGCAGAUGCCGCCUCCCUCCCUGGCUGACCACCUGACCCUUGCUGCAGCCCUGGAUUCCUCCCUGACAAGAAAGAUGACAAGGACUCACCCAAGAAGAACAAGGGCAAGGAGCGCCGGGACCUGGAUGACCUCAAGAAGGAGGUGGCUAUGACAGAGCACAAGAUGUCAGUGGAAGAGGUCUGCCGGAAAUACAACACAGACUGUGUGCAGGGUUUGACCCACAGCAAAGCCCAGGAGAUCCUGGCCCGGGAUGGGCCUAACGCACUCACGCCACCGCCUACCACCCCAGAGUGGGUCAAGUUUUGCCGGCAGCUCUUCGGGGGCUUCUCCAUCCUGCUGUGGAUCGGGGCU